UGUUAUGACCAUUAUGUUAACACAGAAGAUGUGAAGUGGCACAUGGUAGCCUUUCAGAAAUUGUAGUCUCCUUCACUCCAAAUCUCCAGCCCACACAACCUGGAUUUCUUCAUUUUGGGAAUGGGGAUGAUAUUUACCUUCAAAUUAAUGAACCAAUAUAUAAAGUGUCUUGGAUUUAUACAUCAUCAUAACAGAAAUUAUAUUCUCAAGAUUACCCGCUUCCCUUCCUUAAGUGUGGCAAGGACUUCUACCCCUGACCAAGAUGUAGUAACAGGGACCGGAUUGACUCUCACACCUGAAACAACUAAAAAAAUGAGCAAAAUAUAAAACAAUCAUUUUGAAGACAUUGGACAUCAGAUAAUGAACAGUAAUCACAAGGAGACAGGAAACAACCAGGGCAUGAUUGCCCCUGCUUACCUGCAGGAGAGAGUUUCUGGGCCAUCGUAUGGGCCAGGGGAACCCAGGUAGAACCUGGUAGUAUCUUGAGUCGAAGAGAUGGAGGCCAAGGUGACUUAGAGCUGUGAAUGGUCCUGUCUACCUUCCUCUGAGUACUGAUCAGCUGACACACCUAUGAGGAAACCACUCAAGGCUAAGGAAAGAAACACCUGGAAGGAAUCAAGACAAUAACCCUUGACGAUUAUACCGGGCCACGAAUAAUUCCUUUUCCCACCAGCCAGAAAAGAAAACUUCAUAAAUCAGAGGAUAUUGGGUAAAGUACUCAGGACAGUUUUUCUUCACUGAGUGGGGGGAUGGAGGGGUGAGGGGGAAGUGGGAAUUAGAGCUAUAUUAAAGGCUGUUCUGGUCACCCCUAAAAAAGCUGAAAAGCAAAGAUCUAAACAGGUUGAACUGUUUCCAGGCAAAUAAAUCACAUCUUAGAACAAAUCUCAGGAAUAUAUAUAGGAGUACAAGAAUGUCCAGCCCCCAACAAGUUAAAAUUCACAAUUGCUGGCAUCCAAUUAAAAAUUAUCAGCAUGCAAAGGGGAGUGGUAUACUUUUUAAUAUAUGACACAGAUUGAGGAGAAUAAUCAAUUUGAAACCAAACCAGACUUGACACAGAUGUUAGAAUUAGCUCACAAACACAUUGAACAGUUAAGUUUAUAUUCCAUGUGUUUAAAAUGUUAAGUAGAAGGGUGCCUGGGUGGCUCAAUUGGCUGAGUCUGACUUCACUCAGGUCAUGAUCUUGGGGUCCUGGGAUGGAGCCCUGCAUUAGGUUCCCUGCUCGGUGGGGAACC